rnacentral:rRNA from 1 species
ACAUGCAAGUCGAGGGGUACAGGUUCCUUCGGGAAUGCUGACGACCGGCGCACGGGUGAGUAACGCGUAUGCAACCUUCCUGUAUCUGGAGGAUAGGCCUUGGAAACGAGGAUUAAUACUGCGUAACAUUAUAUUAUCGCAUGAUAAAAUAAUCAAAUCUACGGAGGAUACAGAUGGGCAUGCGUGCCAUUAGCUAGAUGGUAAGGUAAGGGCUUACCAUGGCGACGAUGGCUAGGGGUUCUGCAAGGAAGAUCCCCCACACUGGUACUGAGACACGGACCAGACUCCUACGGGAGGCAGCAGUGAGGAAUAUUGGUCAAUGGAGGCAACUCUGAACCAGCCAAGCCGCGUGAAGGAAGACUGUUCUAUGAAUUGUAAACUUCUUUUGUGACAGAGUAAAGAUAGCUACGCGUAGUUAUUUGCAAGUAUGUCAUGAAUAAAGCAUCGGCUAACUCCGUGCCAGCAGCCGCGGUAAUACGGAGGAUGCAGGCGUUAUCCGGAUUUAUUAGGCUUAAAGGGUGUUCAGGCUGUCUGGUAAGUCAGAGGUGAAAGUCGGUUGCUUAACGAUCGAAUUGCCUUUGAAACUGUCAGACUUGAGUAUGGAUGCGGUAGGCGGAAUGUGUAGUGUAGCGGUGAAAUGCAUAGAUAUUACACAGAACACCGAUUGCGAAAGCAGCUUACCAAACCAGCACUGACGCUGAAGCACGAAAGCGUGGGUAGCGAACAGGAUUAGAUACCCUGGUAGUCCACGCAGUAAACGAUGCUCACUCGCUGUUGGCAAUAGAUCGUCAGCGGCUAAGGGAAACCGAUAAGUGAGCCACCUGGGGAGUACGAUCGCCAGAUUGAAACUCAAAGGAAUUGACGGGGGCCCGCACAAGCGGUGGAACAUGUGGUUUAAUUCGAUGAUACGCGAGGAACCUUACCUGGGGCUUAUAUGCACGAUGCAUAAGUGUGAAACACUUUUUCCUUCGGGACUUUGUACAAGGUGCUGCAUGGUUGUCGUCAGCUCGUGCCGUGAGGCGUCGGGUUAAGUCCCAUAACGAGCGCAACCCCUAUUGUUAGUUACCAGCGCGUAAAGGCGGGGACUCUAGCGAAACUGCCGGUGUAAACCGCGAGGAAGGUGGGGAUGACGUCAAAUCAGCACGGCC